rnacentral:rRNA from 1 species
AUUGAACGCUGGCGGCAUGCAUUACACAUGCAAGUCGAACGGCAGCACGGGAGCAAUCCUGGUGGCGAGUGGCGAACGGGUGAGUAAUAUAUCGGAACGUGCCCAGUAGUGGGGGAUAACUGCUCGAAAGAGCAGCUAAUACCGCAUACGACCUGAGGGUGAAAGGGGGGGAUCGCAAGACCUCUCGCUAUUGGAGCGGCCGAUAUCAGAUUAGCUAGUUGGUGGGGUAAAGGCCUACCAAGGCAACGAUCUGUAGUUGGUCUGAGAGGACGACAGCCACACUGGGACUGAGACACGGCCCAGACUCCUACGGGAGGCAGCAGUGGGGAAUUUUGGACAAUGGGCGCAAGCCUGAUCCAGCAAUGCCGCGUGCAGGAAGAAGGCCUUCGGGUUGUAAACUGCUUUUGUCAGGGAAGAAAUCCUCUAGGUUAAUACCCUUGGGGGGAUGACGGUACCUGAAGAAUAAGCACCGGCUAACUACGUGCCAGCCGCCGCCGUAAAAC